AUCGCUUCUCGGCCUUUUGGCUAAGAUCAAAGUGUAGUAUCUGUUCUUUUCAGCUAUUUGGGUUUUUUUUGCAACUUUACAGGAAAGACAUUUAGAGUUUUUUUUUUUUUAAAUUGAAAAAAAUAUC
rnacentral:snRNA from 1 species